AUUGAACGCUGGCGGCAGGCCUAACACAUGCAAGUCGAGCGGAUGAAGGGAGCUUGCUCCUGGAUUCAGCGGCGGACGGGUGAGUAAUGCCUAGGAAUCUGCCUGGUAGUGGGGGAUAACGUCCGGAAACGGGCGCUAAUACCGCAUACGUCCUGAGGGAGAAAGUGGGGGAUCUUCGGACCUCACGCUAUCAGAUGAGCCUAGGUCGGAUUAGCUAGUUGGUGGGGUAAAGGCCUACCAAGGCGACGAUCCGUAACUGGUCGGAGGGGCUGAUCAGUCACACUGGAACUGGAACACGGCCCAGCCUCCUCGGGGGGGAAGCAGUGGGAAAUAUUGGACAAGGGCCAAAGGCCUGACCCAGCAAUGCGGCGGGUGGAAAGAAGGUCUUGGAAUUUUAAAGCCGUUUAGGUGGGGAGAAAGGGCAUUAAGUUAAUACCUUCCUUUUUUGACGUUACCAAAAAAAAAAGCCCCGGCUAACUUCGUG
rnacentral:rRNA from 1 species